rnacentral:rRNA from 1 species
UACGUAGGGUGCAAGCGUUAAUCGGAAUCACUGGGCGUAAAGCGUGCGCAGGCGGUCUUGCAAGACAGGUGUGAAAUCCCCGGGCUUAACCUGGGAACUGCAUUUGUGACUGCAAGGCUGGAGUGCGGAAGAGGGGGAUGGAAUUCCGCGUGUAGCAGUGAAAUGCGUAGAUAUGCGGAGGAACACCGAUGGCGAAGGCAGUCCCCUGGGCCUGUACUGACGCUCAUGCACGAAAGCGUGGGGAGCAAACAGG